GAUGAAGAACGUAGCGAAAUGCGAUAAGUAAUGUGAAUUGCAGAAUUCAGUGAAUCAUCGAAUCUUUGAACGCACAUUGUGCCCGCCAGUAUUCUGGCGGGCAUGCCUGUCUGAGCGUCAUUUCAACCCUCAUGCCCCUAGGGCGUGGUGUUGGGGAUCGGCCAAAGCCCGCGAGGGACGGCCGGCCCCUAAAUCUAGUGGCGGACCCGUCGUGGCCUCCUCUGCGAAGUAGUGAUAUUCCGCAUCGGAGAGCGAUGAGCCCCUGCCGUUAAACCCCCAACUUUCCAAGGUUGACCUCAGAUCAGGUAGGAAUACCCGCUGAACUUAAGCAUAUCAAUAAGCGGAGGA
rnacentral:misc_RNA from 1 species